AAACAACGGGAGGAGAGCUCCUCGUGUCGCUCUGCUUUGCUCGCGACUUCGUUAAGGCAGAACCGGCCUUGAGUUAGCUGGACGAGUUUUCUAGCCCGAAGACGGUAUGCAGAAGUAUCGAUGUACGUUGUGAUGGAAUAAAGUGUACACCCGGUGGUGCGAAUAAUGACGCGCGGCUAUUUGUAGAUGUGCGACGUUUCACGCGAGGAAUAGGCGACGGCAUUUCACGAGACGACGCGAGAGACGUCGUACGUGAAACUAUGACACUACAAUGCAUACGCAUUAUUGCAGGGGGAGAUGUAAGGGACGACCUCUUCGAUCCGUCCAACUCCGAUACGUUCAACGUGAAAAAAUAGUAAAAACGUACCGGUAAAGCGAUCACUAGGACACCGCUCAAGGAGCAUACACCCCCGACGAUUUUUCCCGCGAUCGUUUUCGGAACCAUGUCACCG